UAAUCUGGAUGUUCACAUCCAACCCAAUAGUCGACACAAUUUAUAGUUGAUAGAAUGUUUUCCAAGAGUUCUUUACAUGUCCCAAUGUUCAUUCCGAAAAAGUAGUGCUGGCAAGCACAAUGUGAACAUAAGACGAGCUGUAAACUUAAGUAUACUAAAUUCCGACCACCGUCACAUAUGUGAAACAUAUGUAGUUUGUUGUGAUUGGACGUAUUUGAAAUCCAUUGUCUAAAAUGUGGAAAAGAAAAUGGCACAAGCACAGAACAUAGUUGAUUCUAAUAUAGUAUUAGUGUUGUGUCACUAGAGUGUUGUGUCACUAGAUUGCACAACACAGAGCUGCUCAUGGCGCCUCAUCCGGAAUUUGAGCAACAUCCAUUUAAGCGCCACUUGUAUGUCUGCGAGGCGCAUGUACAAAUUUGGUUGCUAAAAAAACUUAAUUAGCUAGGUUAAUAGCGUCCUUAAGAUAAUAUAGCCUAGACUUCUGAAUAAACAACAAUUUAAAUAUUAAUUAAACAUUUGGCACAACAUAAUCGUAGUGGCAGGUCAAGAAAAACUAGUGAAGUAGUAGUAGUAUAUUUUAGCAAGUGCUAAACCCUGGAAGGGCAACUUAAGAGAAUGAAAUUACGUUCUUCUCAAAUGUUUAUAGCAGUAUGCAAGUGAAUACAUCAUUCCAUAUGGUAUUAGAAAUUAGACUCAGAUUUUCAAUUGAAUUCCUCUCUAUCCGACAAUAGUCGAGAGGAUUCGUAAUGUUUUCAUUGCUUGUACUGCAGGAUUUGGAUUAGUUGAUCAUGGGAAAUGAGAUGGGUAACAACAACACAUCAGGUUUGAGAGAUGAAGAGAACACAACAGUUGGUGAAGUUGCCGAUAAACCUUUGGCAAAAACUACUCUUGCAAAUGACACGAAAGAAGAAAACGUAGUACCGGAAGAUGAAGGAAAAGAUUUUCAUGAAAACAUUACCAACUUGGCUUCCGAUGAUCCAAAGAGAAUACAAGAUACUUGUGUUGAUGAUCAGACAUAACAGGUGAAGAAGACGGUAAAAUGCAACUAGAUCCAUCAAUUAACAAUUCGGGAUAUGAAAAGCCGGUAGAGCGAGAUAUAGAGGAGAAUGAUCUGCAAGGAACAAUC